UUUCGAAAUAAGAAAGAUCACUGGUGGUCAAAGUGCUUGCCCAGGUGCUUUGUAAACGUGAUUUGGCAUCUGAACACUGACCAUGAUUUAGAGAGGAACUUGCAGCUUUGAAACUGGGCUUUUCGAAUCCUGCCCUUCUGGAAAAGCCAAAGCCAUAGGUCGGGGUGGGAAGGCCAAGACAUGGGCAGGCAACAGGCAGCUCACACUCUACUGAAGAACACUGCAGAGAGAACCCCCAGUCUCUGGGCAGAAGUGACCAAGAUGAGCUCUUGGGAUGUGGGAAGAAGACAUAUAUAAGAGCUCAGACUACAGAACACCUUCCUUUCAACUCUGCGACCAGUGAUGCCUCCUGAAGCCCACUGGCCGCGACGUAUGAGGCAUUAAACGUCACGGUGAUUGAGAAGAGGCCGCUGGAUGCACCCAGCUCGGACUCCAUUUUGGAUUGCCUCACUUUCUAUGUAAAUUUGGGCAAGGUAGCUUCUCUGUUUUAGUUUCUUCAUGUGUAAAAUGAGGAUGGUAAGAAUAUCCAACUUUGUGUGAAGAAUGAGAAAAGUAGGUGGCUGAAGGAAACACAUCUGAGCUAAUCACAGAUCUCAAGUGGGCAAGCCUCUUGCACAAAUUCUGUAAUUCUACUACAUUCUCCCAGUCAAGUCACUAAGGCAACUAAUUUAUACCUCUUCUUUCCCCCUCCAACAUCUAACAUUCAUCAUUUCUCAAUUAAUGAUCUUGCUUCUUAUUUCACGGAGGAAAAUAAACUAAAAACAGAGAACUACCCCAUCCCUCGGCCAUCAGACCCUCCCCGCCUCAAAUCUUUCAUUUUGAUUGAGAUGUUCUGCCUUCCCUCUGGUUACAAGGCUGACUCUGCCUGGGUAUCAGAUCCACCCCUCAUUUACUUAAGGGCAUUGUUUCAGCAAUUCUUUCCCAUUUCCCCAGGUGAGACACCAAAUUCUUCUUCUCUACUGAAUCAUUCCCUUCAACAUCAAAUAUGCUGAGAUAUCUCCAUCUGAAAAAACUGCUUUCCUCAGCUCCACAGUCCUCUCUAGCUGCU